UACGGGGGGGGCAAGCGUUGUUCGGAAUUACUGGGCGUAAAGCGUGCGCAGGCGGUAAUGUAAGACAGUUGUGAAAUCCCCGGGCUCAACCUGGGAACUGCAUCUGUGACUGCAUUGCUGGAGUACGGUAGAGGGGGAUGGAAUUCCGCGUGUAGCAGUGAAAUGCGUAGAUAUGCGGAGGAACACCGAUGGCGAAGGCAAUCCCCUGGACCUGUACUGACGCUCAUGCACGAAAGCGUGGGGAGCAAACAGG
rnacentral:rRNA from 1 species